rnacentral:rRNA from 1 species
GACGAACCGUGCGAACGUUGUUCGGAUUCACUGGGCUUAAAGGGCGCGUAGGCGGCCCGCCCAGUCUCGGGUGAAAGCCCCCGGCUCAACCGGGGAAGUGCCCGGGAUACUGGCGGGCUCGAGGGGGGUAGGGGCGGACGGAACUUCCGGUGGAGCGGUGAAAUGCGUUGAUAUCGGAAGGAACGCCGGUGGCGAAAGCGGUCCGCUGGGCCCUUACUGACGCUGAGGCGCGAAAGCCAGGGGAGCAAACGGGAUUAGAAACCCCCGUAGUCC